ACAAUUGCGAUCAAGACAAAGCUGACUGAAGAUACCCAAGCUCAGAUCCAGCUGAAGAACAAAAGGGAGAAGAAUUAAUCCGAAAGAUACAACUCUAUUUGUCAAGUGGUUGCCUCUUGGAGUGUUAACUCCUCUUCAUUUCUGGAUUGUGCAUGAAUGGAGCCAGUAGUGUUUCCUGAGGUAUCCUUCAAAGAAGCCUGUGGGACAUAUUUGAGGGAAGGCAUUUUCAAUGAAAAGUGGGCAAAGCCUAUCUGGAACUGAUUGUUAUACCCGGGCCUAGAAUCAAAGAACCCAUCCUCAGCCCACCCACAAAUGGCUGUAUCCAGCACUACAUAUCUGCUCAAAAAACAAAAGCGACCCAAGUGGAAAGAGAAAGCUAAUCAUGGGCUUGGCAUCUGAUUGUGGUCUGGCUUAAUACAAUAUUCUUAGAGCCAACUGGAAAGGAAACCACCACCCAAAUCCGUCACGACGUGUGCUAUCACAGAAACAACUUGAAGCUUUUGGCCUACCUUUCAUUUUGCCUGUAGAAACCAAAAUGCACAAAUAAAAAUUAAGACCCUGGAA